rnacentral:rRNA from 1 species
GACGAACGCUGGCGGCGUGCUUAACACAUGCAAGUCGAACGGAAAGGCCCCUUUGGGGGUACUCGAGUGGCGAACGGGUGAGUAACACGUGAGUAACCUGCCCUUGACUUCGGGAUAACUUCAGGAAACUGGGGCUAAUACCGGAUAGGAAUCCUUGCUGCAUGGUGGGGGUUGGAAAGCUUCGGCGGUUUUGGAUGGACUCGCGGCUUAUCAGCUUGUUGGUGGGGUAGUGGCUUACCAAGGCUUUGACGGGUAGCCGGCCUGAGAGGGCGACCGGCCACAUUGGGACUGAGAUACGGCCCAGACUCCUACGGGAGGCAGCAGUGGGGAAUAUUGCACAAUGGGCGGAAGCCUGAUGCAGCAACGCCGCGGGCGGGAUGACGGCCUUCGGGUUGUAAACCGCUUUCAGCAGGGGCGAAGCUUGUGGUGACGGUACCUGAAGAAGAAGCACCGGCUAACUACGUG